rnacentral:rRNA from 1 species
GCAGGAACACCCGCUGAACUUAAGCAUAUCAAUAAGCGGAGGA